AUCUCGAAAGACCUGUCUCAGUUCGGAUUGGAGGCUGAAACCCGCCUCCAUGAAGUUGGAUUCGCUAGUAAUCGCGCAUCAGCCAUGGCGCGGUGAAUACGUUCCCGGGCCUUGUACACACCGCCCGUCAAGCCAUGGGAGCCGGGAGCGCUUGAAGUGCGUCGCCGCGAGGCGCGCCCUAGAGCGAGACCGGUGACUGGGGCUAAGUCGUAACAAGGUAUC
rnacentral:rRNA from 1 species